UGCAAGUCGAGCGGAACGACACUAACAAUCCUUCGGGUGCGUUAAUGGGCGUCGAGCGGCGGACGGGUGAGUAAUGCCUAGGAAAUUGCCUUGAUGUGGGGGAUAACCAUUGGAAACGAUGGCUAAUACCGCAUAAUGCCUACGGGCCAAAGAGGGGGACCUUCGGGCCUCUCGCGUCAAGAUAUGCCUAGGUGGGAUUAGCUAGUUGGUGAGGUAAUGGCUCACCAAGGCGACGAUCCCUAGCUGGUCUGAGAGGAUGAUCAGCCACACUGGAACUGAGACACGGUCCAGACUCCUACGGGAGGCAGCAGUGGGGAAUAUUGCACAAUGGGCGAAAGCCUGAUGCAGCCAUGCCGCGUGUAUGAAGAAGGCCUUCGGGUUGUAAAGUACUUUCAGUUGUGAGGAAGGGGGUAACGUUAAUAGCGCUAUCUCUUGACGUUAGCAACAGAAGAAGCACCGGCUAACUCCGUGCCAGCAGCCGCGGUAAUACGGAGGGUGCGAGCGUUAAUCGGAAUUACUGGGCGUAAAGCGCAUGCAGGUGGUUCAUUAAGUCAGAUGUGAAAGCCCGGGGCUCAACCUCGGAACUGCAUUUGAAACUGGUGAACUAGAGUACUGUAGAGGGGGGUAGAAUUUCAGGUGUAGCGGUGAAAUGCGUAGAGAUCUGAAGGAAUACCAGUGGCGAAGGCGGCCCCCUGGACAGAUACUGACACUCAGAUGCGAAAGCGUGGGGAG
rnacentral:rRNA from 1 species